rnacentral:tRNA from 1 species
GCCCCUAUGGUGGAACUGGUAUACACGGCUGACUUAAAAUCAGCUGCCGAAAGGAUUGUGGGUUCGAGUCCCACUGGGGGUACCG